ACAUGCAAGUCGAGCGGUAACAGGGGUAGCUUGCUACCCGCUGACGAGCGGCGGACGGGUGAGUAAUGCAUGGGAAUCUGCCCGGUAGUGGGGGAUAACUCGGGGAAACCCGAGCUAAUACCGCAUACGUCCUACGGGAGAAAGCAGGGGAUCUUCGGACCUUGCGCUAUCGGAUGAGCCCAUGUCGGAUUAGCUUGUUGGUGAGGUAAUGGCUCACCAAGGCCGCGAUCCGUAGCUGGUCUGAGAGGAUGAUCAGCCACACCGGGACUGAGACACGGCCCGGACUCCUACGGGAGGCAGCAGUGGGGAAUAUUGGACAAUGGGGGAAACCCUGAUCCAGCCAUGCCGCGUGUGUGAAGAAGGCCCUCGGGUUGUAAAGCACUUUCAGUGGGGAAGAAGGCAUGGCGGCUAAUACCCGCCAUGAAGGACAUCACCCACAGAAGAAGCACCGGCUAACUCCGUGCCAGCAGCCGCGGUAAUACGGAGGGUGCAAGCGUUAAUCGGAAUUACUGGGCGUAAAGGGCGCGUAGGCGGCUUGCCAAGCCGGAUGUGAAAGCCCCGGGCUCAACCCGGGAACGGCAUUCGGAACUGGCAGGCUAGAGUGCAGGAGAGGAAGGUGGAAUUCCCGGUGUAGCGGUGAAAUGCGUAGAGAUCGGGAGGAAUACCAGUGGCGAAGGCGGCCUUCUGGACUGACACUGACGCUGAGGCGCGAAAGCGUGGGUAGCAAACAGGAUUAGAUACCCUGGUAGUCCACGCCGUACACGAUGUCGACCAGCCGUUGGACCCCUUGAGGGUUUGGUGGCGCAGUUAACGCAAUAAGUCGACCGCCUGGGGAGUACGGCCGCAAGGCUAAAACUCAAAUGAAUUGACGGGGGCCCGCACAAGCGGUGGAGCAUGUGGGUUUAAUUCGAUGCAACGCGAAGAACCUUACCUGCUCUUGACAUCCUGCGAAUCUCCCAAAAAUGGGANAGUGCCUUCGGGAGCGCAAAAACAGGUGCUGCAUGGCUGUCGUCAGCUCGGGUUGUGAAAUGUUGGGUUAAGUCCCGUAACGAGGGCAACCCCUAUCCCUUUUUGCCAGGGGUCCGG
rnacentral:rRNA from 1 species